GCUCAGCCAAGGCACGGCAGCCAGUGUGAGCUCCGACUAGACCUGUCUUGCGACAGCGUGAGUCGCCACCAUGCGCUGCACCGCACUGCUCUUUGUCGCCCUCGCCGGGUCCGCCCUGGCAGGACCAACGGGCCAAAGAUCAACCUGCGCCCUGCACUGCAAUGACGCGGAAAGUUAUGCAUAUGAAAGCGGCAAAAGUUAUGUUUACGAAUACUCGGUGACGACCUCCACCGCCCUCCUGGAAACCUUUGAGGACGACGCCCACUUGCACAUCACCGCCAACGCCCACAUCGAUGUUUCUGCCCCCUGCGAGUACAUCCUCAAGUUGACCGACGUCAAUCUUGAUGGGAUCGUCUCACGGACCAGAGUUCGCUGCUGCUGUUACCAAGUCUCCCUUGCGCUUCUCCUUCCAAGAUGGCCAAGUGGAGAGUAUCUGCGGCGAAGCAUCUGAGCCGGCCUGGGUCCUUAACUUCAAGAGAGGUGUCCUUUCUACCUUCCAGAACUCCAUGGCCCAUCAGGGUGAUGAGGACAUUAAGGAGACAGACAUCUCUGGUGUUUGCAUGACUCACUACAAUGCUACAGUAGAGGGCAGCGUUGUCACCAUUGAUAAGGUCAAGGACUUAGCCACAUGUACUCAGACCUGACCUGACCUUCAUCCCCUCAACUGGAUACAUCAGUGACUCUCCAGUCCAGAGCCUCCCAAUCUUUAAAAGCUCAAGCAAGUCACCAAAGGGUAGAGGAAGGCCUUCUGAAGACGGCAGAAUGUGAGGAGACCCACGUGUUCCGUCCCUUCUCCAGCGAAAAGGGAGGAGCUGUUACAACUGCCAAGACUACCAUGAUUCUCAUGUCUCAGGAACGACUUACUCCUAUCACAGACUUUGACUUCAAGCGCAAUACACUGGCUUUCGAGCACACACUCGCACCAGAAGCUCAGCUUGAAGCAGUUGAGGAGAUCUUGAGCAAUCUGGAGAUUGCUUCCAAUAAUGAAAUCCUUCCAGAGGUUCCUUCACUAUUUGCCAAGCUCGUGUCAUCACUCAAGGAACUGGAUUACCCUCAGCUCAACACUGUUUACAACAAUGCUAAAGAAACUCACACACGGAAGUUCCUGGUUGACGCUAUGCCACUGGUGGGAACAGCUGCUUCUUUUGGUGUGGUCAGAGACAUGUUCCUCAAUGGGGACAUGACAGAAUCUGAGGCUGAUGUGUUCUUCACUUCAUUGGCUUUCUUCAAGAACCCAACAGCAGAAAUGUUUACUGCUCUUGCUCCUUUACUCGAGAACAACCCAAGCCAAAAAGCAAUGUUGGGAACUUCUGCUCUCAUCAACACCUUCUGCAAAAUCAAUGAAGACUGUGGUGCCGAUUCCAGUGUCCAGCAAGUAAUUCGUCGAAUUGAAACACAACUUGGAUCUGGCUGUCGCACUGUGAAUGAAGAAGAGAAAGUCAGGGUACUCGUUGCUCUCAAGGCACUUGGCAAUGCUGGCCGAUGGGUUAAUGCCAACUCAGUCCUAAGGCGAUGCUAUACUGAAGAUAAUGAGAUGGAAGUGCGAGUGGCUGCUAUUGACACAUGGAGGCACACUCCAUGUGAAUAUGACCGAUCUCACCUUCUGGCUGCUUUCCAAGAUGAAACUCAGGACACAGAGGUUCGCAUUGCUGCCUACCUUGCUCUCAUGACCUGUCCUACUCCAGACCUUAUCAAUACCAUCAAGGACCGUCUCACUUCAGAAGGUGUCAACCAGGUGGGCUCCUUCAUCUGGACUCAUAUGACCAACAUGCAGGAAUCAGCUGCUCCAAAAACAGGGCUCGUCAAAUGAUUGGCGAGGAACUUCUCCAGAAAAAGUUCAGUACCGAAGCCCUCAAGUUUUCUCGCAACUAUGAAUCCUCUUUCUUCAUGAAUGAAAUCAACACUGGGGCUUCAGUUGAAAGCAAUGUCAUCUUCUCCAGCAAGUCCUACCUGCCACGUUCUGCAAUGCUGAACCUCACCCUCGACCUCUUUGGACAGUCUAUCAACUUCUUUGAGGUUGGUGGAAGAAUCGAAGGUUUUGAGGCUUACAUUGAACGCUUCUUUGGUCCUAGAGGAUAUUACCCAGAGGAAACCAUUGAAACCAUCCUAAGGAAUAUGCGACAGAACAGUGACGCUGAUGCCACCACGCUUGAAGGCUUCCUUGACCACAUAACUGAUGAACCGAAGGGAUCCUACUACCUCCGAGUUUUUGGCAAUGAGCUUCAUUACCACCACUUCUUAGGACUUGAAAACCUCAUCCAAACAUCCGGUGCUUCUAACCCACUGGAAUUCUUGAUGAAUCUGGCUCGUCAGGGAGAUGUUGAUUACACAAAAUCUUACCAGCUAAUGGACACUCACCACACCAUUCCUACUGUGACUGGUUUACCUGUGACCCUCACUGCAAAGGGAACAGCUACCCUUGGACUCAAUGAAUGGAAACUUCAAGGCUCGUAGUCUCAAGAAUAUAAACAUUGAAGGACACCUCCAUCCUUCGGCCGCAGUUCAAAUUGAUGGCGUUAUGCUCGUCGAUGCCCACGUGUCUCGCACUGGACUGAAGAUGUCUUCCAACCUUCACACCUCCACAUUCCUUGAUGGCAAGCUUCAGAUCAAUGGUGGUAAACUAGUCGAUGUUGCCUUCAACACACCCAAGGACAAGAUGGAAGUUAUCAAUCAAGACCGAGUUCUUCUACCUGGAAGAUGAUCAAGAGAUCCGAAAGGAAGUUGCAAACCUCAUCCAAGAAGAGAGCUGCACUAGUGGAGUCAGUGGCGUUGCCUUGUGUGGUGAAUACAGCUACGCUCCUUGCUCGGAAUAUGGCCCAAGCUUCCCCUUCACAGGACCUUUUGCAACAAGUGUUCAUUUCAAGAAGACAAACACUCAGACUGGAUAUGUCCUGCGCUUCACUCACGAAGGUGAUCAGUUUGUUUUCUUGUUUGACACACCAGGAUCACAAACAGAUCGUAAAGUCCUUCUUACUAUUACCAAGGCUGCUAAAGCAAUCAGCUUUGAUCUUCACACGCCAUUUAAAUCAGUCCAAGGUAGUGGCGAAUAUCUCUGGCAGAAGAAUAACAAGAACACUAAGCUGGCACUCGUUGUUGAUGAAAAUCAACAAUACAUGCUAGAGGCUGGUCUACGUACAAGCGGAAAAACAGUCAAGACACUUGUCCCAUCUUUCAUUCUCACUUCCCCUGGUCAAGUAUUGAAUGUACAAGGAAACUUCCAGGCCAACACGGAUGCUGCUAAAUAUGUUGCUGAUGUUACCAUCUCGGAGAUGACUGCAUCCCCCAUCAUUGUACACGCAUCGUUUGAGGGCGAAAGUAACUCUGUUGCCAUGAACGUUGAUCUGAAAACACCAAUCAUUGACACAUUGGUCAAGAGUGAGUUUGGUUAUGGUGAGAACUUCCUUUCAUCCAAGGUGGAAGCAGAGUACAGUAUUAUGAAAGAGGCCAAACAGACGGUCCACCAUUCUGCCCUUCUCAAGAAGGAAACCACAGAGGACCUCUCCAAGUACACCAUUGUCUUUGACGUCUCCCCAUCACAGUACCCUGAAAUGACAUUAGAUUAUAACCAGAACAUCGUCCUUUCAAAGGGACGCAUGGAAAACAACGUUAAGCUUGUCCAUGGCCCUGCCACAUGGAACGUCAAUGAAGUGGUAUCCUACGCCAAUAACAAUGGUCACCGCGAUAUGAACAUCCACUGGACAGUCGCUUGCACACACUAUGAGAUCGAUACCUCUGGUUCCUUUGCACUGGAGUUCUCUCCAAAUCACCUGAAGGGUGACUAUCACUUCCAACUGUCUCCUGGGAGAGAACAGGUCAUCCUAGUGGAAUUCAGUCAUCAGUAUGACGUCGAAACACUCGGACGUAUCAACGUGCAGGCUGAGGACCUGAAGUCUUCCCUUGAAUUUGUUUUCAAUAAGAUCGCAGCUGGCCACUACAAAGCUCAGAAUACUAAAUUUCCACGAUUUUCUGGACGUAAACAAAAUUCCAUGACAUUCCAGGUCUGGAAAUAUCCAUUUCCAUUUCCAUGGUUCUCCAUGACCCAAUCCGCACUAAAUCACCGUUGCGUAAGGUUCCAAUACCACGGACUGGAUAAGACAACGAUAAGCAGGCCGACCUUCAGCCUCGGAGGCGACUAUAAAAGCGCGCUCAGCCAAGGCACGGCAGCCAGUAGAAUCAUAAUGCCCAAACUCGAUCAUUCUUCUUCAGGACCAACGGGCCAAAGAUCAACCUGCGCCCUGCACUGCAAUGACGCGGAAAGUUAUGCAUAUGAAAGCGGCAAAAGUUAUGUUUACGAAUACUCGGUGACGACCUCCACCGCCCUCCUGGAAACCUUUGAGGACGACGCCCACUUGCACAUCACCGCCAACGCCCACAUCGAUGUUUCUGCCCCCUGCGAGUACAUCCUCAAGUUGACCGACGUCAAUCUUGAUGGAUCGUCUCACGGACCAGAGUUCGCUGCUGCUGUUACCAAGUCUCCUUGCGCUUCUCCUUCCAAGAUGGCCAAGUGGAGAGUAUCUGCGGCGAAGCAUCUGAGCCGGCCUGGGUCCUUAACUUCAAGAGAGGUGUCCUUUCUACCUUCCAGAACUCCAUGGCCCAUCAGGGACAUUAAGGAGACAGACAUCUCUGGUGUUUGCAUGACUCACUACAAUGCUACAGUAGAGGGCAGCGUUGUCACCAUUGAUAAGGUCAAGGACUUAGCCACAUGUACUCAGCGACCUGACCUGACCUUCAUCCCCUCAACUGGAUACAUCAGUGACUCUCCAGUCCAGAGCCUCCCAAUCUUUAAAAGCUCAAGCAAGUGUCACCAAAGGGUAGAGGAAGGCCUUCUGAAGACGGCAGAAUGUGAGGAGACCCACGUGUUCCGUCCCUUCUCCAGCGAAAAGGGAGGAGCUGUUACAACUGCCAAGACUACCAUGAUUCUCAUGUCUCAGGAACGACUUACUCCUAUCACAGACUUUGACUUCAAGCGCAAUACACUGGCUUUCGAGCACACACUCGCACCAGAAGCUCAGCUUGAAGCAGUUGAGGAGAUCUUGAGCAAUCUGGAGAUUGCUUCCAACAAUGAAAUCCUUCCAGAGGUUCCUUCACUAUUUGCCAAACUCGUGUCAUCACUCAAGGAACUGGAUUACCCUCAGCUCAACACUGUUUACAACAAUGCUAAAGAAACUCACACACGGAAGUUCCUGGUUGACGCUAUGCCACUGGUGGGAACAGCUGCUUCUUUUGGUGUGGUCAGAGACAUGUUCCUCAAUGGGGACAUGACAGAAUCUGAGGCUGAUGUGUUCUUCACUUCACUGGCUUUCUUCAAGAACCCAACAGCAGAAAUGUUUACUGCUCUUGCUCCUUUACUCGAGAACAACCCAAGCCAAAAAGCAAUGUUGGGAACUUCUGCUCUCAUCAACACCUUCUGCAAAAUCAAUGAAGACUGUGGUGCCGAUUCCAGUGUCCAGCAAGCACUUGGCAAUGCUGGCCGAUGGGUUAAUGCCAACUCAGUCCUAAGGCGAUGCUAUACUGAAGAUAAUGAGAUGGAAGUGCGAGUGGCAGCUAUUGACGCAUGGAGGCACACUCCAUGUGAAUAUGACCGAUCUCACCUUCUGGCUGCUUUCCAAGAUGAAACUCAGGACACAGAGGUUCGCAUUGCAGCCUACCUUGCUCUCAUGACCUGUCCUACUCCAGACCUUAUCAAUACCAUCAAGGACCGUCUCACUUCAGAAGGUGUCAACCAGGUGGGCUCCUUCAUCUGGACUCAUAUGACCAACAUGCAGGAAUCAGCUGCUCCAGAAAAACAGUGGGCUCGUCAAAUGAUUGGCGAGGAACUUCUCCAGAAAAAGUUCAGUACCGAAGCCCUCAAGUUUUCUCGCAACUAUGAAUCCUCUUUCUUCAUGAAUGAAAUCAACACUGGGGCUUCAGUUGAAAGCAAUGUCAUCUUCUCCAGCAAGUCCUACCUGCCACGUUCUGCAAUGCUGAACCUCACCCUCGACCUCUUUGGACAGUCUAUCAACUUCUUUGAGGUUGGUGGAAGAAUCGAAGGUUUUGAGGCUUACAUUGAACGCUUCUUUGGUCCUAGAGGAUAUUACCCAGAGGAAACCAUUGAAACCAUCCUAAGGAAUAUGCGACAGAACAGUGACGCUGAUGCCACCACGCUUGAAGGCUUCCUUGACCACAUAACUGAUGAACCGAAGGGAUCCUACUACCUCCGAGUUUUGAUGAAUGGAAACUUCAAGGCUCGUAGUCUCAAGAAUAUAAACAUUGAAGGACACCUCCAUCCUUCGGCCGCAGUUCAAAUUGAUGGCGUUAUGCUCGUCGAUGCCCACGUGUCUCGCACUGGACUGAAGAUGUCUUCCAACCUUCACACCUCCACAUUCCUUGAUGGCAAGCUUCAGAUCAAUGGUGGUAAACUAGUCGAUACCGAGUUCUUCUACCUGGAAGAUGAUCAAGAGAUCCGAAAGGAAGUUGCAAACCUCAUCCAAGAAGAGAGCUGCACUAGUGGAGUCAGUGGCGUUGCCUUGUGUGGUGAAUACAGCUACGCUCCUUGCUCGGAAUAUGGCCCAAGCUUCCCCUUCACAGGACCUUUUGCAACAAGUGUUCAUUUCAAGAAGACAAACACUCAGACUGGAUAUGUCCUGCGCUUCACUCACGAAGAUGAUCAGUUUGUUUUCUUGUUUGACACACCAGGAUCACAAACAGAUCGUAAAGUCCUUCUUACUGUUACCAAGGCUGCUAAAGCAAUCAGCUUUGAUCUUCACACGCCAUUUAAAUCAGUCCAAGGUAGUGGCGAAUAUCUCUGGCAGAAGAAUAACAAGAACACUAAGCUGGCACUCGUUGUUGAUGAAAAUCAACAAUACAUGCUAGAGGCUGGUCUACGUACAAGCGGAAAAACAGUCAAGACACUUGUCCCAUCUUUCAUUCUCACUUCCCCUACUGGUCAAGUAUUGAAUGUACAAGGAAACUUCCAGGCCAACACGGAUGCUGCUAAAUAUGUUGCUGAUGUUACCAUCUCGGAGAUGACUGCAUCCCCCAUCAUUGUACACGCAUCGUUUGAGGGCGAAAGUAACUCUGUUGCCAUGAACGUUGAUCUGAAAACACCAAUCAUUGACACAUUGGUCAAGAGUGAGUUUGGUUAUGGUGAGAACUUCCUUUCAUCCAAGGUGGAAGCAGAGUACAGUAUUAUGAAAGAGGCCAAACAGACGGUCCACCAUUCUGCCCUUCUCAAGAAGGAAACCACAGAGGACCUCUCCAAGUACACCAUUGUCUUUGACGUCUCCCCAUCACAGUACCCUGAAAUGACAUUAGAUUAUAACCAGAACAUCGUCCUUUCAAAGGGACGCAUGGAAAACAACGUAAGCUUGUCCAUGGCCCUGCCACAUGGAACGUCAAUGAAGUGUCGCUGCACACACUAUGAGAUCGAUACCUCUGGUUCCUUUGCACUGGAGUUCUCUCCAAAUCACCUGAAGGGUGACUAUCACUUCCAACUGUCUCCUGGGAGAGAACAGGUCAUCCUAGUGGAAUUCAGUCAUCAGUAUGACGUCGAAACACUCGGACGUAUCAACGUGCAGGCUGAGGACCUGAGUCUUCCCUUGAAUUUGUUUUCAAUAAGAUCGCAGCUGGCCACUACAAAGCUCAGGAUUUAUAAAGAACAGAGGUGUCUGGUGGCUUUUAAUGAGAAAGAAAUGGCUUUGGAAGGAAACUUUAAGGAUAAUUCCAUGGCCGGUAAAGUCAACACCAUUGUCGAUGGAUUCUUCAAGACGUCCGACUUCGACUGGAAAUCCAACCUGGUAUCUAUGCAGACAAGGACAAGGCCAAUGUUAACUUCAAGAUUAAUGCCGACGGCAACGAAUACAUGGCCAAAUUUGAGGGCACCCGCACUUCCCUUCUCGUUGAAUCGAACUUCGCCAAACACAUUCUUGUUGAUGCCCACGUAACCAGUACACAGGACAUGAGGAAACUACAUGUUGCUGCUGAGUGGUGGAUCAUACAACUUUCAUAUGGUGACAGGGAAAUGUCCAUCCUUGGCAAGCUAAUUGACAGUGGUGUGGAGGUGGAAACCAAAUGGGCUUCUGACAAGAGAAUUUUUGUCAAUGUUCACUACACACUUGGCAAUACCAAUUCGCUGGCAGCUACAGUGCAGACGCCAUUCCAAGGUUGGGAAAAACAGGAUGCCACCUUUACCUUCUCCAUCAAGGAUUAUGAAGUUGAGAGCCGAUUUUCUGCUACAUGGAAGAACACACAGCAAAUGGCACUUAUUGUCACUGGUAAGGUAGAACCUGGACUCUUUACCAAUGCUCUUUCCACCAAAGUUGCAUUCACAAGCACCUUUGAUAACUAUGAGCGUAUCGAAUUCUCUCUGGAUCAUAACAUGGUUGAUUCUACCAUCAAGACUCAUUUGGAGGGCGCCUGGAACCAAGAGAAAAUGGAAGGCAACUUCCAACUCACUCCUAACACCAAUGGUGUAGAUGCUCGAGCUACCUUCACUUCCCUGUCACAGAGAACAUCCUUGUGACAUUGCAUCAUGAGUUACUCAACAGUUGUCUACCACAUUGAAGUGAAAUAUGGACAAGAGAUCUCUACUGCUACUGCCACAGGUCACGUGGAUCUUAGUAAUGUACAUGACAUCACUCUGGUGUUCAAGGUUGACACCCCUGUUUCUUUGAUCCCUGAGAUAAAUGCCAAUCUUAAGUACUCCCUGAGUGGAGAAAGUCUCAACUUGAUCACUGAAGGUAAGAUUGGGGAGAAGAAAAUCAUGCUUAAUGUAAGCGGCCGGCGGACUGUCAGUGGCGACACUACGGACAUUUCUGGAGACGUUCGCUUCAUCACUCCUUUCACUUACCCUCUGACAGCAUCUCUCAAGCACACCCAUGACAUGGAGCACUUUACAUCACAGUUCGAGAUGACCAGGAUCUGGUCUACAUACGGUAGCGUCAAGGUGCAUGCUCAAGGACACAUGCUCUCCAAGAAUGAUGUAGAAUUCAAGGUUGACGUUUCCAGCCCAGUAAAUAAGGGAUCAAUCGCCUUCAAGCACACUGUCACUAACACCAAGAUGGAUUCCUCAGUUGAUGUCAUUUUCAACUCUGAACGUAUUCAUAUGUCUGUGGGUGGACUUCUGGAUGUGUCUAGGAACUUGGCAAACAUUGAAGCUGAAGUUACUUCCACUUUCAGUGGCCUAGAUGAUGUAAAAGUCAGCAUCGAUAGCAAGAAGGAUGACAACACAAGAACUUCCAACAUAGUUCUCAUGAAGGGAACAAAAUCUGUUGUUAUUGACCAUACCAUUACCUUCAAUGAUUGGUUCAACUGGGAAAACUCCUUUAUUGUGAAUGGAGUCUACAAAUUAAGCAACAAGCAGAUGCAUGCUGGCUCUCUGUAAAACACCAACUUGAGUACAUGUGGGAUCGCCAACUUGUGCAAUUCGAAGGAACUUUCGACAAGAAGAUCUCUGGAAAUACCCGUCAGAUUGAUGCCCAGGUCUCCCUUUCCACUCCUUGGACUGAGGACAUGAAACUUGAUUUGCACCACCAAGAUGAUGGUGUUGAGUACAAACCAACACUUAUCAUUGAGUACAGGCCUGGAAUGAAGAUUGAAGUUGCCUCUGUUCUGAAAUGCGAUUCAUCAUUCUUCUACACUGCAUCCACUCUUACAACACCAUUCUGGCAGCCAAUGGGAUACAAACUCAACAUUGACUUCCAGCCAAGGAAGACUGCUACUCUUGUUUUAACCCGUGGAGCCAACAGAACUACUAUUGACAUCACAGGAAAAAUUGAACAAGGAAAGGUAGAUGGUGAGCUGCAUAUCGAUUCUACAUAUCUUACCAAACCGGUUUCUCUGGAGGUGUUCUAUGACAUCAUUUCAGCCGAAAAGAAAGUGAACUUGGCGCUUGAUUUUGACAAGAGGUAUGAGAUAACAGGAGUCAUUGCUGGUCACCUUAAACAAGCUAAAUGGUCUCUUAUGAUGGACCUUCCUCUUGAAGCUGUACAAAAAGUUGGUUUUAGUGGCGAGUACAAUGUUGAAGCCAUGCCCUUCACUGCCAACAGUACUAAUUUUCACCCAGAAAUACCAGGUAAAUGGCAAGAUCAACGUGGAUGAAUUCCAAAUCAAUAUGGAUUUGAAUGGAAACUGGAAGUUGGUCAGCAGGAACUACCAGGAACUACGCUGGUGUAGAAAUCGACUUCCAGUCACCACUUACGACACUGGACAACAUGUCUAUCUCAGCAAUGUAUGACUUCCGUAGUGAAAAGAAAGUGACCCUCAAGAUGACACGUAACUCAAAGGAAAUCAACCUUUCUGGACGACUUGAAGGACAAACCAUUGUUUUUGAAGGCACAACUCCAUUCAGUGGAUGGGAAACCCUUAAGGCCUCAUUCUUCAUCUCCAGCUCUGCUGUUAAAGCCUUUGUGUCCAGGAAUGACCGCAAGAUUGAGGUUACAGGAACACUGCACAUCAGAAAAGUCAAGGGAAAGAUCAAUCUCACCAUCAAUACUCCAUAUGCUGGCUAUGAAACCAUUGCUGUUGACACAAGCUACAGCUUACAGGGCCAGGUGAAAACAGUGGAGUUUGAAGCCAAAUUUGGCUCGCAAGAACUCUCUUUGAAGGGAGACAUCAAGACAAACAACAUCCUAGCUCCUGAGAUGACCCUCAAUAUCAUUACUCCAUUUGAAACUGUAAGAACUCUUGGUGGAGAAGCUCACUGGGACCUGAGAAACCUUGUCAAGACUGCCGAAGUGAAGGCUUUCCGCAAUGACCGUCACUACCACUGGCAGUUAGAGGCAGCUGCUGAUAGUCCCCUAAAGGGUUAUGCCAAAUCCAAGAUCACAACUCCCAUUGCUGGAUGGACAACAGUCAGUUUGGAAGGAAACUUUGAUUUCACCUCCAUGCCUUACAGGGCACUUUUUACUUACAAUAAAGAAGGAGUUAUCAACACAUUUGAAGUACAAGCUAGUGUAGCAGAAACUGCAGUAUCUGGUGAAAUUACAACACCAAUCUCUGGCUGGGAGAAGAUUGCUUUGAAUGGCGACUAUUCUCUGGUUAACAACCUUCUGUCUGGAAAUGUGGAGAUCACCAAAGUUCUGACAAUAUCAUCUCAAUGGGGAGAUUGCUUUUAAUACUCAGAAGCCGAAGUUGAAUAUUGGCAUCAGGACACCUCUAGCAAAUGCUGCUGAUAUUGAGCUGGUUCUUGAUGCUAAUCUAGUUGAUACAGAAAAGAAUUUCCACAUUACCUUCAAAAGGAAUGACAUCACUUAUUCUGCAGAUUUCACAGGCCAAAUGAUCUACAAAACAGGAUUCGUGAAGCUGCAUACAACUUCGCCAAUUCCAGGUUUUACAUCCCUGGAUGUUGAUGCCAAAUACGACUUUACUGGAGACGUGAAAACUGCCGAAGCCAAUCUUAUGAAGGAAGGAAAUAACCAGCAUAUUUCACUGACCUCCACAGUCAAUGACAACGAUUUCCAUGUUGAAGUUGAAACACCAUUUGCUGGUUUUGAAUCUGUGAAGAUGGACGGAGAUUACGCUUACCUCAAUAAUAAACACAGUGUCUCAGCUUUCAUUUGAGAAGAAUAGUCAGAAGUAUGACUUCCAUGCUGAGAUUUCACUCAAUGCCAACUCGGUUACCCUGACACUGGUAACCCCAAUAGUAGACAUUAAGCAUGUUGUCAUUAGUGGCAAUUACCAGGCUAUUGAGAAUGGAAUGGAAUGUUCUCUUGUCAUUGAAAGAAACCAGGAUAAGUUUGAGUUUAAUGCUCAAGGGUAUUUUACACCCAAGAUCAGAUCUCCACUCUCACUGGAGAUGCCUGUUGAAGGCUGGAGGAAGCUUGAGCUGGAUACCCACUAUGAUGUUAUCUCCGACAAGAAGUCUGCUGAGAUCUCUUUCCAGAGAGAUUCACUGAUGAAAAAGCUGUAUGUUGAGGGAAGCUACAAUCUGAAAUAUGGAUCUUUUAAGGUUAUGACUCCUAUUGAAGACUUCAGAGUCCUAGGUGCUGAAUAUACACUAAACCUUGAUGAAUAUAACAAGAAACUGGAUGCUUCUGUAAAGAUCAGUCAAAACUCCAAUGAAUGGGCUUUCGAGGCACAUGGACAAUUCAGUGAUGACAACAUUGUCAUUAAGUUCCAGACACCAUUUGAAGGUUUGACACCAUUGCUGUAGAAGGAAACUAACUAUGGAAACAGAUCUGGAAGAGGUGUCAUUCAGUUUGGACCUUAUAAGUUUACCACCAGCAUUUCCUACGCAAAUGAUAAUAUGUCCUUUGAUCUGACGACUCCCUUUGAUGUUAUCAAGACUGUGUCCCUUUCAGCCCGGUACAGCUGGACCACCAGCCAAAAGCUACUAAACACUUACAAUGACAAGAACUUUGUUCUCUCAAGUUCUCUGCAGCUCUCUACAAGGGCCUCUAACAUCACCUUCCAGGCCACAACUCCUUUCGAGGGUUUCCAGAACUCCUUCAUUGAAAUCAAGUAUGACAUUGAUAACAGAGAGGAGCUCCUUGCAUCUCGUGUCAGUGUAGAUGAUCACAGCUACAGCUUUGUUGUAGGUGGAUAUAUUGAGGACAAGCUAGCCGUGUUCAAGUGGAACCUUAACUCUCCUCUCACUGGCUGGACUGAUGCCAAGUUUGUAGCUAAGAUUGAUCUUUCCAGUGAAAAUAAAAACUUGGAAAUCUCCCUUGAGAAAGAAGGAGACCUUAAAGCCAUUGCAGUCUCUGGCAAGUUCAUUGGCAGUACACUGGACUUUAAUCUGCGAACUCCUUUCAGAGGGCUCAAUAAUUUCAAUGUGUUUGGUUCUCUUAACCGGUCAAAGAGGUCUCUUGAAAUGAGAAUGAUGAAUGAUGCAGGACAAGCAUCUUUAGCUGCAAUUUCAACUCCCUCAGAUUCAACAUGAAGACUCCAUUUGAAAGGGCAGAACAGAUCUCCUGGGAGGUCACCAAGACUGGUGAAGGCUCCUACAAGGCUGAAUGGAGGAGGAAUGAUAAUUAUGCCAUAAUCAUGAUAGAAAAGGAUGGAAAGAAAAAUUCUUUCCAAGUGGAUGUGAAGAGUGAGUUUCAAGGAUGGGGAGAUCUUGGCUCUUACUGGAAGACUAGAUCAAGAUACAAAACAGGCCUACCUCAGUGGAGCCAUCAAUGAACAGAAAAUCACCAUCUCUGGAUCAGGUUCCUUUGGUAACAAAAUCCAAUAUACCAUGAAGAUUGAAACACCCUAUGAAAACUACAGAGUUGUAGAUGUUCAAGUAGAUUAUGUGAAGAGAAGGAACACAAUGAAGAUCGAGGCUUCUUCAUCCUCUUCUGAUUUCCAUCUUCUUUGGUCACGCUCAGGAUCAGGCCUUGAAGCCCACCUUAUUGUACCUAAUUCACAGCAGAAUACUGAAAUUUCCAUUAACCUCACCCCUACUCAAGGAAAAAUAACCAUAACAUCACGAUUCGAGCCUAUCAGGGAUUACCUCAAGAAUACCAUGUUAACCUUGGUCAGAAUGAUAUCACUGCUGACCAUAUUAUCAAGCUGAAUGGUCAUGAGGUUUUCAAGAUGGACUUUGAGAGGAAUGCUUCUGAACAGAAGGGACACCUGGAAAUUCACAUUCAUGUAGCAGAACGCCACACAACUAUUCAUUUCCAUCGUGAGGGCUUUAGCAAGCUUAAUUUCCUCUUUAAACGUGAGGUUCCCCAGUAUGGCGAGAAACACUUCAAGGUCGACAUAACUGGAUCAGGAGCAUUACCACAAAAGGGUGCACUUGAUAUUGUUGUUGAGAACACCUUCCGUGAACCAGCGAGAUCCAUCAAUGCACGUGUUGAAGUAGACCGGACUGGUGCCCGAAAGAAAAUCAAGUUGGAAGUUAUUCCACAACCAAGCAGACUGUAUUUUUCAACCUUGACUAUGAUGCAGACCUCCAAAGCCCACGACACGGAGACUUCACUUUGAGCAUUACAACCUCCUGCCAGACUCAAUGA